ensembl:misc_RNA 7SK 7SK RNA
GGAUGUGAGGGUGAUCAGGCUGCUACAUCUGUCACCGCAUUGAUUGCCAGGGUUGAUUUGGCCGAUCUGGCUGGCUAGGCGGGUGUCCCCUUCCUCCCUUACCACUCCAUGUAUGUCCCUCCCGAAGCUGCACACUCAGUUGAAGAGGAUGGCCUUCCCCCGAAUAGAGAUGGACCAGUCUUUGGUUGACGGUAUAUGAGUAGCUGUGCUAGCCCUGCUAGAACCUCCAAACAAGCUCUCAAGAAAAUUUCAAACAGAAUUACAGCAAGUUAAAGACACCUUGAGUGCAGUAAAAGGU